UAAUACGUAGGGUGCGAGCGUUAAUCGGAAUUACUGGGCGUAAAGCGUGCGCAGGCGGUUUGAUAAGACAGGCGUGAAAUCCCCGGGCUUAACCUGGGAACUGCGCUUGUGACUGUCUCACUAGAGUACGGCAGAGGGGGGUGGAAUUCCACGUGUAGCAGUGAAAUGCGUAGAGAUGUGGAGGAACACCGAUGGCGAAGGCAGCCCCCUCGGGCCGAUACUGACGCUCAUGCACGAAAGCGUGGGGAGCAAACAGGAUUAGAUACCCUGGUAGUCCACGCCCUAAACGAUGUCAACUAGGUGUUGGGUGGGUAAACCAUUUAGUACCGUAGCUAACGCGUGAAGUUGACCGCCUGGGGAGUACGGCCGCAAGGUUAAAACUCAAAGGAAUUGACGGGGACCCGCACAAGCGGUGGAUGAUGUGGAUUAAUUCGAUGCAACGCGAAAACCUUACCUACCCUUGACAUGUCAGGAACUUGCCAGAGAUGGCUUGGUGCCCGAAAGGGAGCCUGAACACAGGU
rnacentral:rRNA from 1 species